UGUUUUGGUUGUAAUGUCGGUGGAGGGCGUGGUCGGGGGCGGGGCUACGUGGAACUGGGCUGCAGCCAACCAGAAGUCAUCAACUGCAGUCGGACAGAGAGAGGAUUCAAACUGAAAUUCUGCAUCACAACAUACAGCAAGUCUCUGGACCUGGUUUUGUCUCGGGGCUGUGCUACGUCUCGUCACUGUCAGCAGACAGAGCUUCCUGGUGUUGCUGUGGCUUGCUGUGAUUGGUCGCUGUGUAAUGGCGGAUUGCAGAGUCGGGGAUCGAUCAGUGCUUUCCUCAGCUUCAUCACCAACGUCUGGUUACUUGUAGGACGGUGACAUUGGAUCAGUUCUGGACAACAGACUUAUAGUAGAACACUGAGCAUGCACAGACGUUGUUUUCUGCUCACAGUUCAGAAGCCUCCUCCACUCCUGCCACGCUACAAAGUCGUGUGUCCCUGUUUGAAAUGACAAAUAAUGGAAAAAGUCAUUCAUCAUCAUUCAUCUGACCCAGAGUCCUGAGGAAAUGCUACAUUCAAAUUCAUGCUAGUUUUCUGUGACUACCAACCCUAGCUUUAAGGUUCACAUUUAAUUAUUUUAUUGCCAUACUCGAUUUGUUAUCUUUGGACUUUCAAUGUUCAAAAAUCAAAUAUCAACAGAGCAAUGAUAAAAACUCUAAACAUUAGAUUUACAGUAUUUAGUUGGAUACUUGUUAUUGUGCAAAUGUUGUACAUGUAAUAACCUUUCUUUUGAUUGUAAGAGGUAAUAUUCCUUCCUUUUUCAUGUUUUGAAUCAGUAAACUCUGCUCACGUA